AGUGUGACGGGGUUACCCAAAGUGUUCAAUUUUGAACUGUGGUAGGUGAGUAAUGUUCCCUACUAGAAAGGAGAGGGCAAGGCUGGUGCCAGCCGCCGCGGUAAAACCAGCUCUUCAAGUGGUCGGGAUAAUUAUUGGGCUUAAAGUGUCCGUAGCCGGUUUAGUAAGUUCCUGGUAAAAUCGGGUAGCUUAACUAUCUAUAUGCUAGGAAUACUACUAUACUAGAGGGCGGGAGAGGUCUGAGGUACUGCAGGGGUAGGGGUGAAAUCUUAUAAUCCUUGUUGGACCACCAGUGGCGAAGGCGUCAGACUGGAACGCGCCUGACGGUGAGGGACGAAAGCCAGGGGAGCGAACCGGAUUAGAUACCCGGGUAGUCCUGGCCGUAAACGAUGCAUACUAGGUGAUGGCACGGCCAUGAGCCGUGUCAGUGCCGUAGGGAAACCGUUAAGUGUGCCGCCUG
rnacentral:rRNA from 1 species